rnacentral:rRNA from 1 species
UUUUGUCCGGAAAGAAAUCCCUGGCUCUAAUACAGUCGGGGGAUGACGGUACCGGAAGAAUAAGCACCGGCUAACUACGUGCCAGCAGCCGCGGUAAUACGUAGGGUGCGAGCGUUAAUCGGAAUUACUGGGCGUAAAGCGUGCGCAGGCGGUCUGUUAAGACAGAUGUGAAAUCCCCGGGCUCAACCUGGGAACUGCAUUUGUGACUGGCAGGCUAGAGUAUGGCAGAGGGGGGUAGAAUUCCACGUGUAGCAGUGAAAUGCGUAGAGAUGUGGAGGAAUACCGAUGGCGAAGGCAGCCCCCUGGGCCAAUACUGACGCUCAUGCACGAAAGCGUGGGGAGCAAACAGGAUUAGAUACCCUGGUAGUCCACGCCCUAAACGAUGUCAACUAGUUGUUGGGGAUUCAUUUCCUUAGUAACGUAGCUAACGCGUGAAGUUGACCGCCUGGGGAGUACGGUCGCAAGAUUAAAACUCAAAGGAAUUGACGGGGACCCGCACAAGCGGUGGAUGAUGUGGAUUAAUUCGAUGCAACGCGAAAAACCUUACCUACCCUUGACAUGGUCGGAAUCCUGAAGAGAUUCGGGAGUGCUCGAAAGAGAACCGGCGCACAGCUGCUGCAUGGCCGUCGUCAGCUCGUGUCGUGAGAUGUUGGGUUAAGUCCCGCAACGAGCGCAACCCUUGUCCUUAGUUGCUACGCAAGAGCACUCUAAGGAGACUGCCGGUGACAAACCGGAGGAAGGUGGGGAUGACGUCAAGUCCUCAUGGCCCUUAUGGGUAGGGCUUCACACGUCAUACAAUGGUCGGAACAGAGGGUUGCCAACCCGCGAGGGGGAGCUAAUCCCAGAAAACCGAUCGUAGUCCGGAUUGCACUCUGCAACUCGAGUGCAUGAAGCUGGAAUCGCUAGUAAUCGCGGAUCAGCAUGCCGCGGUGAAUACGUUCCCGGGUCUUGUACACACCGCCCGUCACACCAUGGGAGUGGGUUUUACCAGAAGUGGCUAGUCUAACCGCAAGGAGGACGGUCACCACGGUAGGAUUCAUG